AAAUCAUUCAAUUUCUUUCUCUAGAGAUCUAGAGUCUCCAAUUUAAUCAAAGCAAAGUAAGUUGUGAAGACAAGUAGAGAAUCUGUCAUGUAGCCAGAACCACUACAGAGAGCAAAGAGUAGGGAGGCAAUGAGACAUGAGAGAAUCAGAAGUGUUACCAACAAAAGAUGCAAUUUCAACAUGAUUGGUAGACCUAAUGCGGCUAGCAAAUCUUCUUUGCAGGAUAGCCUUUAUUGUCUACAACAAUUUGUCAUUAACACAAGUUUUAAACUUUUAAUUCUUCUUCACCUUUCU